CGUACCGUAUUUAUUUGGAGAGUGAAGCUAACUUUUAAUUUGGCUCUAUACUCCAGCAUUCUGGACUGGAGAUGAAUUGUUUUGUAUGAGGAGAAAGUACAGAAUGUCACCUUUUUAUUUGAGAGUAUUUUCAUACAUAUCUAUUAUACCGUUUAGAAAUUAAAGCACUUUGUAUCUAAUCCCCCCAUUUGAAUGUGUCUUAAGUAUUUGGUUAAAUUAAUUUAAAGUAUAUUAAAGUAGUCAAAUGUUUAGUAUUUGGUCCCAUAUUCCUAGCACACAAUUACUACAUAAAGCUUGUGACUACACACUUGUUGGAUGCAUUCGCAGUUUGUAUUAGAUGCAUUUCGGGUUAUGUUGUGCUCAAUAUAAAUGAAUGGUAAAUAAUGUAUUGUGUCAUUUUGGAGUAACUUUUAUUGUAAAUAAGAAUAGAAUGUUUCUGAACACACACAAAGAGCAUGCACCUCAAAGCAUGCAAACCUCUCACCAUUACCAAUAACAGGAGAGGUUAGCAUUUUGGGGGGUAUGAUCAUUGUUCCUCUGUAACUUUCUCACUAAGCAUUAUUCACAAUUCAUUAAUAUAAGUGAAUUUGUCCAAAUACUUCAUACAUAAAGUGCUUUCAUUUCUAAAACACAUACUGUAUGAAACAAACCUCAAAUAAGAUGUGACAUUCUGUACUGUCACCUCAUUUAAAACAUUUGAUCUCAAAUCCAAAAUGGUGGAGUAUAGAGCCAAAUGUACAUAUUUUAGCUUCACUGUCCAAUUACAUACUUAGGGGAGUGUACAUCUUUAGAGACAGGGUUCACUCCCCCAAAGUGGAAAAUAGUCCACAGUUGACUGGUAUAUGUGACAUAUUGUAUGCUCAAGUGAUACCCUGAUAGAUGCUCAUAGGUAGAAGUCUUGAUGUGGCAGACGGGUAGGCGAUCAACAGAGUACAAGGUUGAAGGUGACUGAUAGAGAGUUCUUUGUCACCUGUCAUCUUCUCCUGUCUGUGCUGGAGGCUGAGGGCUGGAUGACCUGGGGUCACGGUGUUUUUGUCUGCCAGGCGCGUCUGUGGUCGCGCCACGGUGACAUAUCUGUUGUAGCGCCACGGUGACAUGUCUGUUGUGUCAGUGUGUCAUGAUGACAGAAAGCAGGUUAAACUGACACUGAGCUGAUGAACAGCCAGGAGAAAGAGAUGACUCUCACUGGGACACAGAAUCAGUGUCACUCCAGUGUUACUCUUCGUACUGGUUGGUUUCAACCUUAAGGCUGCUGCCAUUGUCAGCAAGACAAUGGUUUACUGAGUUAGUGCGGGCGGGAGUGCAUUAGGCUUCUUCAGUGAAUACUUGACCUUGUGUUAGGUGACACAACAACUCAUCUGAAUGUGGUGGGGCCAGACGAGCACCACUAACAAUGAUCUCAUUUCUAUAUUCUUGUGGUUUAAUAUAACAAUCAAUAAGAGUGUGGAGGUAUAACUGAAGUUGUAAUCCUGUCAGGGUGGAGGUAUAACUGAAGUUGUAAUCAUGUCAGGGUGGAGGUAUAACUGAAGUUGUAAUCCUGUCAGGAUGGAGGUAUAACUGAAGUUGUAAUCCUGUCAGGGUGGAGGUAUAACUGAAGUUGUAAUCAUGUCAGGGUGGAGGUAUAACUGAAGUUGUAAUCCUGUCAGGGUGGAGGUAUAACUGAAGUUGUAAUCCUGUCAGGGUGGAGGUAUAACUGAAGUUGUAAUCCUGUCAGGGUGGAGGUAUAACUGAAGUUGUAAUCAUGUCAGGGUGGAGGUAUAACUGAAGUUGUAAUCAUGUCAGGGUGGAGGUAUAACUGAAGUUGUAAUCAUGUCAGGGUGGAGGUAUAACUGAAGUUUUAAUCCUGUCAGGGUGGAGGUAUAACUGAAGUUGUAAUCAUGUCAGGGUGGAGGUAUAACUGAAGUUGUAAUCAUGUCAGGGUGGAGGUAUAACUGAAGUUGUAAUCAUGUCAGGGUGGAGGUAUAACUGAAGUUGUAAUCAUGUCAGGGUGGAGGUAUAACUGAAGUUUUAAUCAUGUCAGGGUGGAGGUAUAACUGAAGUUGUAAUCAUGUCAUGGUGGAGGUAUAACUGAAGUUGUAAUCCUGUCAGGAUGGAGGUAUAACUGAAGUUGUAAUCCUGUCAGGGUGGAGGUAUAACUGAAGUUGUAAUCAUGUCAGGGUGGAGGUAUAACUGAAGUUGUAAUCCUGUCAGGGUGGAGGUAUAACUGAAGUUGUAAUCCUGUCAGGGUGGAGGUAUAACUGAAGUUGUAAUCCUGUCAGGCUAGACAAGCAGCAUUUACAGUCUCUGUUGUCCUUUUACUUAUGUAAUGGAAACAAUGUGGUCGCUUUUCACCUCUGCUAUUUCAAUAUGUGUGUGUUUACAUGAAGGAGAGUGAAAGAGGUCAAGGUUGAGGGCUGAUUAAUAUAAUAAAUAAAUAUAAUAAAGUACUAUUACCUGAACAAUGGCAGACACUUUCUACUGGUGGGACUGUUCUAUUACUCAGUUCCUUCACAACAAGUGGCUAGCAAUACAGCCUGAAUCUAAUCACCAUGGAAACUAAAAAUAAUGUGUUGUCUGCUUUAUAUUACCUCAACAUGCCUAGCAAUUCUAGUAACUGUCUAAAUUUAGUUCAAGAUGUAUCUGUUGUUUUCCUCUUUUGCUGCUUUAACUUUGAUACAGGCCUGGUGUUUAUCUGUUUCCUAUAAAUCAGUGGU